CAGAAAAUAUAGUCAAAAGAUGGUCAGAAAAUUUUGACCAUAUUCUUACCAUUUUCUGAGAAUAUAUGUAGUUUAACCUAGAUCUUAAAUCUACGUUUCUCUUAGUUGAAAGACCUCCUCAUUCCUUUUCUAUUUCUCUGUUUUUUUUCCUACUUUGCUAGUUCAUCAUCAUAACCUCUCUUUCUUUUAUUGCAGGUCCGAUGGAAAUGCUUCAGUGUUAUUGCUUUCAUCGUUAUCCUCUACCCUUUUUAGGGCAGUUUACUUUAUUGAGACCAUGGAGAAAACGAAGACUAAGAAGAACGAAGAAAAACUAAGAAGAACGGAGGAAUCAAUUGACAUGGCACUCCAUUUUGUUUCUACUAUUGCUUUUUAAUAUAUGUAUUCUUUUUGUUAGAACACUUGUUCUCAUGUUGCUAAAUUUUAUUUUCUUCUGUCAAAUAAAAUAACAUUUAUUUCAUAUUUAUUCGACUUUCAGUACUUUUUACUA